GGAGUUUGGGCCGUGUCUCAGUCCCAAUGUGGCCGUUCAACCUCUCAGUCCGGCUACUGAUCGUCGACUUGGUGGGCCGUUACCUCACCAACUAUCUAAUCAGACGCGAGGCCAUCUUUCAGCAAUAAAUCUUUGGUACAUCGGGGAUGCCCCCAACGUACUUCAUGCGGUAUUAGCAGUCGUUUCCAACUGUUGUCCCCCACUGAAAGGCAGGUUCCUCACGCGUUACUCACCCGUCCGCCACUCAGUCAUCCGUUCCGCUUGACCGAAGUCUUGCUUCACGGAGCUUCGUUCGACUUGCAUGUGUUAGGCACGCCGCCAGCGUUCGUCCUCGAGCCACUGAUCAAACUACU
rnacentral:rRNA from 1 species